CUGAGCCCAGCCAACAAGAGCAGUUGGUCUUCUACAACAGUUGGUUUGAUGAAGCCACUCUCUUGGUCAACAAUGGCACAGGACUGGUUUCCUGGAUCACAUCUUUGUGGGGCCCCAGGAGCUGUGGGUGCUGGAUGCCUCUCAGCAGGAUGCUGGGUCCUAGAGCUGCCAGGGCUCACCCCAUGCAUGCUAUGGGCCUCCGCGCCUCACCUCAGCUACGGCCCUCACUUGCACUUCCACAAGCAGAGGCCUUUUACUGGACUUGGCUCCAGUAGAUGGACAGGAAACUGCCAACCAUGCUGGCCACCCAAACCAACUUUCGCUGCCUGGCUACUGGCAACCCCACUCUCUCCAUCUCCUGGCUGAAGAACCACAAGGGUUCUAAGCAGAGCAUCACAUCAGGACAUCAAGGGGUCCCUGGAAGUUGGUGGGAAUGUGGCCUGAUUGUGAAAGGUGGGACCUGUCCUCCAUUCACCCACACUUCCACCUGGAGCUGUGGCACCAGCAGUAGAGCCUGCUCAUGGAGUAUGGUGCCCUCAGACUGCUGUCACUCCACCUCUGUGAUGGAGAACAAGUUCAACAGCCUUCAGCAGACAUACACGCUGGACAGCUGGGUGAGGGCUGUGGCCCAUGGGCAGGGGUCAGGAAGGUGGGCAGCCUCUGAGCUCUCAUCUAUUCUCUCAAUGUGCUCUCUUGACCAUCCCAUUCUACCCACUGGGCUUCUGGCCAACCAGACACAGCAAGGUGGAGUUCCACUGCAAAGUGUACAGUGACCUACUAUGUGGAGGUGAACAGCAGCUAGGUGGGUGUCAAUGGCAUGCCUAUGUCACCAUGCUCAGGGGAGAUGCUGCUGCUGUCCAGGAACAUGGGGAUGGCAGACCUGGGG
rnacentral:lncRNA from 1 species